UUUUUGUUCUUCCUGAGGUUCAAAUGUAUCAGUUGUUUUUGUUGACAGAUAUCAAGGUACAGAAAUAAGAAACUAAGUUUAGAGUUUUUAAAAGUUUGAUUAGUCAUAAUAUUUGCACCUAUUAUUUCCAAUAUCUGCCAAAGUGUCUGCUAAAUGUAACUAGUACUGAUUAGAUUCAUGGUGAUUGCAAAGUCUAACAUAUGGACAAGUAGGAUGCUUGGGGCUUGAUUCAGUGAAAGAAUGUUGGACAAGCAGAAGUGUUAUGGAGUGUGUGUGUGUUUCUAUGGUGACUGUGGGAAGAGGUUAGCGAUUAGAUGUGAAUGAUGCAAAAGUGGCAUUGUCGUCACUUGGUCUUAGUUAGGGGAGACGACUCCAGAAUGUAAGACUGAAAGGUUGUGUUAUUGUAGUGAGUUAGAUUGUAAGACAUUUUAUUACUUAAGUCUACUACAGUUAUUUCAUGUGAUCACAAGUAUUAUAAAUGUUCUAUUUAGUUUUGUUGACAAGGAAGUUGUUCAAGUUAUUGCGAAGGUUUAUUAGCUCAGAUAUAUUAUGCCUUCAACAGUUUGUCUACCAGCAGUUUGGUGUUACAAGUCAACGACAGUCAACAACAUGACUAAAUUAAAUACAGCCAUGUCUAUUUCUACAUCAUUUUGUUGCUACUAACCUUUUGUUACUAACAACUAACUUGAAAUGGGAGAGAUUUUCAUCAUUUUUUCCUGAAGUCAUUUCAGUUCUCAAUUAUUUUGUGCAACAAUUUACAAGAACAAAUUCAAGCGAGAGAGGUCACUACACUAAGACUUUGUCUACUCAUAAGAUGGCUGCCUGGUCAUGUAUGUGUGCUGGACUGUUGUCCUGAUGCUCAUAUCUUGCCUGAUGACAUUUAUUCUGGUGGACAUUUGGUCAAGGAAGUAGAUUCUCUUCAGCUCUCAAGGAACAUUCAAAACAUGUCAUACAUUUGACAAGAAUAUCAAGCAAGUGCAGUGUACAUACCAACAUGAUGAAGAUGUAGACCAACAUGAAGAUGUAGACCAACAUGAAGAUGUAGACCAACAUGAUGAAGAUGUAGACCAACAUGAAGAUGUAGACCAACAUGAAGAUGUAGACCAACAUGAAGAUGUAGACCAACAUGAUGAAGAUGUAGACCAACAUGAAGAUGUAGACCAACAUGAAGAUGUAGACCGACAUGAUGAAGAUGCAGACCAGCAUGAUGAAGAUGCAGACCAGCGUGAUGAAGAUGCAGACCAGCGUGAUGAAGAUGUAGACCAGCGUGAUGAAGAUGUAGACCAGCGUGAUGAUGAAAUGUAAACCAAAAUAUUGAUAAAGAGAUGUAGGGAAUAAAAUGUGAACAUCUUGAGAAGUAAAACAAUUCCUAGAGGCCAAGACACAGACACACCGGAUAUAUUAGAGAUUUUCCUUUUCUACCAUCAUUUAGAGCCUUCCAUGUGCCCUAAGGGAACCUUGUCAUUAUCUUUUGUUUGCUAAUUGGCAUUGAUGUUUUUACAUUCCUACUGCGUCUGAAAGAAAUUAACAUUUCCCUAAUGCUGCUUCAAAACCAGAACUUCUCAAGACAAUCUUAGUGACCAAGCUACAAUACAGGACCCAGUAGGAAACAAUGAAGAA